rnacentral:rRNA from 1 species
ACUCAAAGGAAUUGACGGGGGCCCGCACAAGCGGUGGAACAUGUGGUUUAAUUCGACACUACGCGAGGAACCUUACCUGGACUUGACAUGUACUUGACACCCGUAGAAAUACGGUCUUCUAGGCUUCGGUCUAGACAGGCACACAGGUGCUGCAUGGCUGUCGUCAGCUCGUGUCGUGAGAUGUUGGGUUAAGUCCUUUAACGAGCGCAACCCCUGCUAUCAGUUGCCACUUGCGAAAGCAAAGCACUCUGGUGGGACUGCCUGGGAAACCAGGAGGAAGGUGGGGAUGACGUCAAGUCAUCAUGGUCCUUAUGUCCAGGGCUACACACGUGUUACAAUGGCUAGUACAAAGGGCUGCAAGUCUGCAAAGGCAAGCUAAUCCCAAAAAACUAGUCUAAGUUCGGAUUGAGGUCUGCAACUCGACCUCAUGAAGUUGAAAUCGCUAGUAAUCGCAUAUCAGAACGAUGCGGUGAAUACGUUCUCGGGCCUUGUACACACCGCCCGU